CCAAAAAUAGAGCCAAUAAUUUGGAUGGCUGUGCCUUGAAGAAAUACAGUUAGUGUCAUUUCAUCAGGCCAUAGCUGUCCAAAUUGUUAGGUUCG
rnacentral:pre_miRNA from 13 species